rnacentral:rRNA from 1 species
UACGAAGGGGGCUAGCGUUGUUCGGAAUUACUGGGCGUAAAGCGCGCGCAGGCGGCCUUUCAAGUCAGGGGUGAAAGCCCGGAGCUCAACUCCGGAAUUGCCUUUGAAACUGUCAGGCUCGAGUACGGGAGAGGUGAGUGGAAUUCCCAGUGUAGAGGUGAAAUUCGUAGAUAUUGGGAAGAACACCGGUGGCGAAGGCGGCGACCUGGGUAGAUACUGACGCUGAGGUGCGAAAGCGUGGGGAGCAAACAGG